rnacentral:rRNA from 1 species
CUAGAGUUUGAUCCUGGCUCAGGACGAACGCUGGCGGCGUGCUUAACACAUGCAAGUCGAACGAUGAUGGCCGUGCUUGCACGGCUGGAUUAGUGGCGAACGGGUGAGUAACACGUGAGUAACCUGCCCUCCACUCUGGGAUAACCUCGGGAAAUCGGGGCUAAUACCGGAUACGAGUCCCUGCCGCAUGGUGGGGGUUGGAAAGUUUUUCGGUGGGGGAUGGACUCGCGGCCUAUCAGCUUGUUGGUGAGGUAGUGGCUCACCAAGGCGAUGACGGGUAGCCGGCCUGAGAGGGCGACCGGCCACACUGGGACUGAGACACGGCCCAGACUCCUACGGGAGGCAGCAGUGGGGAAUAUUGCACAAUGGGCGAAAGCCUGAUGCAGCGACGCCGCGUGGGGGAUGAGCGGCCUUCGGGUUGUAAACCUCUUUCAGCAGGGAAGAAGCGAGAGUGACGGUACCUGCAGAAGAAGCGCCGGCUAACUACGUGCCAGCAGCCGCGGUAAUACGUAGGGCGCAAGCGUUGUCCGGAAUUAUUGGGCGUAAAGAGCUUGUAGGUGGCUUGUCGCGUCUGCCGUGAAAACCCGAGGCUCAACCUCGGGCGUGCGGUGGGUACGGGCAGGCUAGAGUGUGGUAGGGGAGACUGGAACUCCUGGUGUAGCGGUGAAAUGCGCAGAUAUCAGGAAGAACACCGAUGGCGAAGGCAGGUCUCUGGGCCAUUACUGACACUGAGAAGCGAAAGCAUGGGGAGCGAACAGGAUUAGAUACCCUGGUAGUCCAUGCCGUAAACGUUGGGCACAGGGGUGUGGGGAGCAUUCCACGUUCUCCGCGCCGUAGCUAACGCAC